UACGUAGGGGGCUAGCGUUGUCCGGAAUCAUUGGGCGUAAAGCGCGUGUAGGCGGUCCGGUAAGUCCGCUGUGAAAGUCGGGGGCUCAACCCUCGAAUGCCGGUGGAUACUGUCGGGCUAGAGUCCGGAAGAGGCGAGUGGAAUUCCUGGUGUAGCGGUGAAAUGCGCAGAUAUCAGGAGGAACACCAAUUGCGAAGGCAGCUCGCUGGGACGUUACUGACGCUGAGACGCGAAAGCGUGGGGAGCAAACAGG
rnacentral:rRNA from 1 species